rnacentral:Y_RNA from 1 species
GGCUGGUCCGAGUGCAGUGGUGUUUACAACUAAUUGAUCACAACCAGUUACAGAUUUCUUUGUUCCUUCUCUACUUCCACUGCUUCACUUGACUAGCUUUAA